rnacentral:rRNA from 1 species
AGUCGAGCGGACAGAUGGGAGCUUGCUCCCUGAUGUUAGCGGCGGACGGGUGAGUAACACGUGGGUAACCUGCCUGUAAGACUGGGAUAACUCCGGGAAACCGGGGCUAAUACCGGAUGCUUGAUUGAACCGCAUGGUUCAAUUAUAAAAGGUGGCUUUUAGCUACCACUUACAGAUGGACCCGCGGCGCAUUAGCUAGUUGGUGAGGUAACGGCUCACCAAGGCAACGAUGCGUAGCCGACCUGAGAGGGUGAUCGGCCACACUGGGACUGAGACACGGCCCAGACUCCUACGGGAGGCAGCAGUAGGGAAUCUUCCGCAAUGGACGAAAGUCUGACGGAGCAACGCCGCGUGAGUGAUGAAGGUUUUCGGAUCGUAAAACUCUGUUGUUAGGGAAGAACAAGUACCGUUCGAAUAGGGCGGUACCUUGACGGUACCUAACCAGAAAGCCACGGCUAACUACGUGCCAGCAGCCGCGGUAAUACGUAGGUGGCAAGCGUUGUCCGGAAUUAUUGGGCGUAAAGCGCGCGCAGGCGGUUUCUUAAGUCUGAUGUGAAAGCCCCCGGCUCAACCGGGGAGGGUCAUUGGAAACUGGGGAACUUGAGUGCAGAAGAGGAGAGUGGAAUUCCACGUGUAGCGGUGAAAUGCGUAGAGAUGUGGAGGAACACCAGUGGCGAAGGCGACUCUCUGGUCUGUAACUGACGCUGAGGCCCGAAAGCGUGGGGAGCGAACAGGAUUAGAUACCCUGGUAGUCCACGCCGUAAACGAUGAGUGCUAAGUGUUAGAGGGUUUCCGCCCUUUAGUGCUGCAGCAAACGCAUUAAGCACUCCGCCUGGGGAGUACGGUCGCAAGACUGAAACUCAAAGGAAUUGACGG